rnacentral:rRNA from 1 species
ACGAACGCUGGCGGCGUGCCUAAUACAUGCAAGUAGAACGCUGAAGGAGGAGCUUGCUUCUCUGGAUGAGUUGCGAACGGGUGAGUAACGCGUAGGUAACCUGCCUGGUAGCGGGGGAUAACUAUUGGAAACGAUAGCUAAUACCGCAUAAUAUUGACUAUUGCAUGAUAGUCAGUUGAAAGGUGCAACUGCACCACUACCAGAUGGACCUGCGUUGUAUUAGCUAGUUGGUGGGGUAACGGCUCACCAAGGCGACGAUACAUAGCCGACCUGAGAGGGUGAUCGGCCACACUGGGACUGGGACACGGCCCAGACUCCUACGGGAGGCAGCAGUAGGGAAUCUUCGGCAAUGGACGGAAGUCUGACCGAGCAACGCCGCGGGAGUGAAGAAGGUUUUCGGAUCGUAAAGCUCUGUUGUAAGAGAAGAACGAGUGUGAGAGUGGAAAGCUCACACUGUGACGGUAUCUUACCAGAAAGGGACGGCUAACUACGUG